rnacentral:rRNA from 1 species
UACGAAGGGGGCUAGCGUUGCUCGGAAUCACUGGGCGUAAAGGGUGCGUAGGCGGGUCUUUAAGUCAGAGGUGAAAUCCUGGAGCUCAACUCCAGAACUGCCUUUGAUACUGAGGAUCUUGAGUUCGGGAGAGGUGAGUGGAACUGCGAGUGUAGAGGUGAAAUUCGUAGAUAUUCGCAAGAAUACCAGUGGCGAAGGCGGCUCACUGGCCCGAUACUGACGCUGAGGCACGAAAGCGUGGGGAGCAAACAGG